GGUGAGGAGAUCCUAUGGCUGCACCUUCUACUUUCUGCAGCCCACUGCAGGGGGAGCACUCCCUCCCACCUGGCCCUCACCUGAGGAAAGAUAUUCCCAGGUCAGUCCAAGCCCAGGCAAGGCCUGUGUGCCUGCUCUUUCUCCACCCUGUACCCUGGAUUCUCACUGAGCUCACAGGUCUCUGCUGAAGUCUCCCAGCCUCAGGGAGGACCCCUGGAAGGGGAGGUGAGCCCUGCCCUUCGGAUGACUAC
rnacentral:lncRNA from 1 species